rnacentral:tRNA from 1 species
GAGAGAGGCUUGCACAGCAACGAAGACUGCUAACCCUCGUACCCUCGGUUGAAUUCCGGAGCUCUCUCGACCCAG